AUUGAACGCUGGCGGCAGGCUUAACACAUGCAAGUCGAGCGGAGAUGAGGUGCUUGCACCUUAUCUUAGCGGCGGACGGGUGAGUAAUGCUUAGGAAUCUGCCUAUUAGUGGGGGACAACAUUCCGAAAGGAAUGCUAAUACCGCAUACGUCCUACGGGAGAAAGCAGGGGAUCUUCGGACCUUGCGCUAAUAGAUGAGCCUAAGUCGGAUUAGCUAGUUGGUGGGGUAAAGGCCUACCAAGGCGACGAUCUGUAGCGGGUCUGAGAGGAUGAUCCGCCACACUGGGACUGAGACACGGCCCAGACUCCUACGGGAGGCAGCAGUGGGGAAUAUUGGACAAUGGGGGGAACCCCGAUCCAGCCAUGCCGCGUGUGUGAAGAAGGCCUUAUGGUUGUAAAGCACUUUAAGCGAGGAGGAGGCUACUGAGACUAAUACUCUUGGAUAGUGGACGUUACUCGCAGAACAAGCACCGGCUAACUCUGUGCCAGCCGCCGCAGUAAGAC
rnacentral:rRNA from 1 species